GAAAGUCUCCUACCAUGCGCGCUAAUCAGAGACCGGGGCUGGUUUUUUCACUGCAGUCAGGUACCUGAAGUAGCGCGCGUGGUGCUAGACA
rnacentral:pre_miRNA from 12 species